CCUACGGGAGGCAGCAGUGGGGAAUAUUGCACAAUGGGGGAAACCCUGAUGCAGCGACGCCGCGUGAGUGAAGAAGUAUUUCGUUACGUAAAGCUCUAUCAGCAGGGAAGAAAAUGACGGUACCUGACUAAGAAGCCCCGGCUAACUACGUGCCAGCAGCCGCGGUAAUACGUAGGGGGCAAGCGUUAUCCGGAUUUACUGGGUGUAAAGGGAGCGUAGACGGCAGCGCAAGUCUGAAGUGAAAGGCGGGGGCUGAACCCUGGGACUGCUUUGGAAACUGUACGGCUGGAGUGCAGGAGAGGUAAGCGGAAUUCCUAGUGUAGCGGUGAAAUGCGUAGAUAUGAGGAGGAACACCAGUGGCGAAGGCGGCUUACUGGACUGUAACUGACGUUGAGGCUCGAAAGCGUGGGGAGCAAACAGGAUUAGAUACCCCUGUAGUC
rnacentral:rRNA from 1 species